rnacentral:rRNA from 1 species
GACGAACGCUGGCGGCGUGCUUAACACAUGCAAGUCGAACGGAAAGGCCCUGCUUUUGUGGGGUGCUCGAGUGGCGAACGGGUGAGUAACACGUGAGUAACCUGCCCUUGACUUUGGGAUAACUUCAGGAAACUGGGGCUAAUACCGGAUAGGAGCUCCUGCUGCAUGGUGGGGGUUGGAAAGUUUCGGCGGUUGGGGAUGGACUCGCGGCUUAUCAGCUUGUUGGUGGGGUAGUGGCUUACCAAGGCUUUGACGGGUAGCCGGCCUGAGAGGGUGACCGGCCACAUUGGGACUGAGGUACGGCCCAGACUCCUACGGGAGGCAGCAGUGGGGAAUAUUGCACAAUGGGCGGAAGCCUGAUGCAGCAACGCCGCGUGCGGGAAGACGGCCUUCGGGUUGUAAACAGCUUUCGCCUGUGACGAAGCGUGAGUGACGGUAAUGGGUAAAGAAGCACCGGCUAACUACGU